GACAGAGGUGGCAAGCGUUGUUCGGAUUUAUUGGGUGUAAAGGGCAGGUAGGUUGUUGUGCAAGUCUGGUGUGAAAGCCCACGGCUCAACCGUGGAAUGGCAUUGGAAACUGCAUGACUUGAGUACCGGAGAGGUGAAGGGAAUUCUCGGUGUAAGGGUGAAAUCUGUAGAUAUCGAGAGGAACACCAGUGGCGAAGGCGCUUCACUGGCCGGUUACUGACACUGAGCUGCGAAAGCGUGGGGAGCGAACAGG
rnacentral:rRNA from 1 species